rnacentral:tRNA from 1 species
GGUAAGGUGGCUCAGUGGUAGAGUGCUUGCCUUGCAUGCAUGAGGUCCUGAGUUCGAUUCCUACAUUAACA